rnacentral:misc_RNA from 1 species
GAAAACACAAAUUAUCCUUGAUAAUCUAGCAUUACAGGCUAGCCAAUAAGCACACAUCUUAGCCUCUCUAUGCACAAAGGAAACUGACCAGCUAGGAUAACAAAGCAUAAACCUUCUAACAUCUAGAAUAAUAGCUUCAAUCUCCCAAGAAACAGGGCUUGCAGACAUUAACAUAUAAUGAGAGAAUUCGUCUCAAACACCAUUGAGGGAAAUCUCCUGGCUAUAGCAAACCGGAAAGCAAAUCUUAGAGCCAUGCCCUCAGCAGCAAUGGAAGAGUUGCUAGCCAGGAUCCCUACACUAGCAUUAAUAAAAUUACCAAGAUGGUUUCUGACAAUAAUCCCAUAACUUGAAGAGGCGAAUUUUGAACAAAGGAAGCAUCAACAUUUAUUUUCACAAAAUCCGUGGAGGAGGGCACCAAUGAGUCAGACUUUUAGAUAUAAACCCUGCUGCUGGAGGCAGAGAAUGGUGUUGCUGAGGAGCCAAAAAGAACAACUCUUCAACGGCAUUCUGGGCUUUAGCAACAGAUUGAAUAGGAUUAGGAACCAAAGAUUAAAAAAGCACCUCAUUUUUGGCUGUCCAUAUAUACCAACAUAACAUGGUAGCUAAACGAACAAGUCACCCUUCCUGAUCAUUCAGAAGGUCAAAUGCAGAUUGC